UACGGGGGGGCAAGCGUUGUUCGGAAUUACUGGGCGUAAAGGGCUCGUAGGCGGCCAACUAAGUCGGAUGUGAAAUCCCCAGGCUCAACUUGGGAACUGCAUCCGAUACUGGAUGGCUUGAAUUCGGGAGAGGGAUGCAGAAUUCCAGGUGUAGCGGUGAAAUGCGUAGAUAUACUGGAGGAAUACCGGUGGCGAAGGCGACUUCCUGGCCUGUUCUUGACGCUGAGGCGCGAAAGCUAGGGGAGCAAACGGG
rnacentral:rRNA from 1 species